UACGUAGGGUGCAAGCGUUAAUCGGAAUUACUGGGCGUAAAGCGUGCGCAGGCGGUUAUGCAAGACAGAUGUGAAAUCCCCCGGGCACAACCUGGAUGACUGCAUUUGUGACUGCAUGGCUAGAGUACGGUAGAGGGGGAUGGAAUUCCGCGUGUAGCAGUGAAAUGCGUAGAUAUGCGGAGGAACACCGAUGGCGAAGGCAAUCCCCUGGACCUGUACUGACGCUCAUGCACGAAAGCGUGGGGAGCAAACAGG
rnacentral:rRNA from 1 species